rnacentral:rRNA from 1 species
UCAGUCACGGUCCCCUUGGCGGUUGAGAUUACUUGGAUAACUGUGGUAAUCCUAGAGCUAAUACAUGCACUGGAGCUCCGAUCCCGCGAGGGAGACGAGCGCUUUUAUUAGACCAAGACCAGCCCGCGUUCGCGCGGCAGCGAUUGGUGACUCUGUAUAACCUAGGGCGGAUCGCACGGGCUCGUCCCGGCGACGCGUCUUUCGAGUGUCUGCCUUAUCAACUGUCGAUGGUAGGUCAUGCGCCUACCAUGGUCGUCACGGGUGACGGGGAAUCAGG